ACGUGUCUGGACACGUGACGCCCACCCGAGAGUCCCCAGUGAAGCAACAGGACGUUUAAAAAAAAAAAAUUUUUUUUUUUUUGAGGGGGUAGCGAGGAAGGUGGACGAAGAGGUUUAAGAAAAAAAAAAAAAACCCAAACUAUAGUAACGCGCGCGGACGCGAGGCCCGGGCGGCGGCGAGCGCAGCGCGUCGCGGAGAGUCCCGCCGGGAUUCCUCUCAGCCGCCGCACCCGACCGCGCCCGCCGCCUCAGCAACAGCGCGCCGACGAGCCAGCGCCGCCGCCCGCGUCCCCCUCAGCCGCGACCCCGGCCCCGCGCGGGCGGCCACCGGCGCGCGUCCUCCCCGCCGCGGCCCGGCCCUGCGCCGGCCGUCCCGCCCGAGCGGCCAGGGGCGGCGGCGCCGCCUGAACUGAGGCGAACUCCGCCGCCAAGUGAGUGAGGAGGAGGAGAGCCGCGGAGGAAGAGGAGGAGCGCAGUCGGAGCGCGGCGGCGGCGGCGGCGGCGGUAACGCGGAGCGCCGCGGCGGACAGCACCGCAGACUCGCGAGCUCCGGCGCAGGCGGCGCGACCGGCCGACGAGCGGCCCCCCGGCUCCUCGCGGCGCAGCGGCCCCGCGCCGCGCUCGGCCCGAGACCCGCCUCUGCCGCCGGCCUCGCGAGGGGAGCCGCGCCGGGCGGCCGAGGAGCGGCGGCCGCGGCGCGUCGGGCCGGGCGAAAGUGCCUGCGGGGGGCGGGCGGGCGCGCGGAGCCGGCCGCCCCGGGGCUCGGCGCGGGAGCCGGAGCGGGAGCCGGCGCGGAGCGGGACGCCGCGUCCCGAGCGGCCGGCGGCCGGAGCUCGCCCCCGCCCCUCCCUCCUCUCCUCCGGCGGCGGCGGCGGCGGGCGGAGUGAGCUGCGGAGCCUGGAAUAUGGUCGGGGAAAUGGAAACGAAGGAGAAGCCGAAGCCCACCCCAGAUUAUUUGAUGCAGCUGAUGAACGACAAGAAGCUCAUGAGCAGCCUGCCCAACUUCUGCGGGAUCUUCAACCACCUCGAGCGGCUGCUGGACGAAGAAAUUAGCAGAGUACGGAAAGACAUGUACAAUGACACGUUAAAUGGCAGUACAGAGAAAAGAAGUGCAGAAUUGCCUGACGCGGUGGGACCCAUUGUUCAGUUACAAGAGAAACUUUAUGUGCCUGUAAAAGAAUACCCUGAUUUUAAUUUUGUUGGGAGAAUCCUUGGACCUAGAGGACUUACAGCUAAACAACUUGAAGCAGAAACGGGAUGUAAAAUAAUGGUCCGAGGCAAAGGCUCAAUGAGGGAUAAAAAGAAGGAGGAGCAAAAUAGAGGCAAGCCCAAUUGGGAGCAUCUAAAUGAAGACUUACAUGUACUAAUCACUGUGGAAGAUGCUCAGAACAGAGCAGAAAUCAAGCUGAAGAGAGCGGUUGAAGAAGUGAAGAAGUUACUGGUACCUGCGGCUGAAGGUGAAGACAGCCUGAAGAAGAUGCAGCUGAUGGAGCUUGCAAUUCUGAAUGGCACCUACAGAGACGCCAACAUUAAAUCACCAGCCCUUGCCUUUUCUCUUGCAGCAACUGCCCAGGCUGCUCCAAGGAUCAUCACUGGGCCUGCGCCUGUCCUCCCACCAGCUGCUCUGCGUACACCUACGCCAGCUGGCCCUACCAUAAUGCCUUUGAUCAGACAAAUACAGACCGCUGUCAUGCCAAACGGAACUCCUCACCCAACUGCUGCAAUAGUCCCUCCAGGGCCUGAAGCUGGGUUAAUCUACACACCCUAUGAAUACCCCUACACAUUGGCACCAGCUACAUCAAUCCUUGAGUACCCUAUUGAACCCAGUGGUGUGUUAGAGUGGAUUGAAAUGCCAGUCAUGCCUGAUAUUUCAGCCCAUUGACUUGCUGGAUGAAGGACUAGAAUACAGCAGCUGUUAUAACACGACCAGUCAAUGUGGAAAAAACAAAAAACAAAACAAAACAAACAAAAAAAAAAACUGUUUCUGUGCAACCCCACUGUUUUACCAGACAGAAUUUGAAACUUUUUUGUGUAUGACCUUGGUGCUGUGUGCCUGCUGUUGACUCCUAGGACUUUGAUCUUUUAAAGGUUCCCUCCCCCAUCCUCCACUUAAUAUUAAUUUUGAAAGUCUUUAGUGAACUUGGACAUUAAGAUUUAAACUUGAAAAUUCAUUGUUCAUUUAAAGAAAGCCGCAGCGCUCUGUAUGUUAUCUGUGUGUGUGCAUGCACUUAGGUGCCUUUGUUUAUAAACAUUUUAUUGUACAUGUUUUCUGUCUUAAGUCAUUGUAUAAAAUAAUUAUAAGUCAGAAUUAUACAACAGAAGUGUUAGUAAGAGGCUGUAUUCUAUUGCACAUUACUUGAAGCAUUUUAAAAAAAAAAUAACAUGUAACCUAUAUAUAACCUUAUUUAAGUUUUCCUUUCUAUUAAUUCUCUGUCCUGUGGCCCCCGUGCAUGCUCCUUCCCCAGAACUCCUCUCUGCCGCACUCACAGAAGCUCUUGUUCCUGAGGAGUUAGGGCUCUCAGCUUCCAGCUGCUGCUCCUGACUGUUAGUGCCUAGUUUUGCCAAAUAGAAUUACUAUGCAGUCUGCUUAUCUAAAAUGAAAAAUAGGUUUUCAACCAGUUUACUGCUUAGAGACAGCAAGAGGCACUGCUGUAAAAUUUCUCCAUUAUAAAGUAACAUGUCGUUUGGUUUGGUUAGGACAUUUAUAUAUAUAAAGAAUUGAUUGAAACCAACACUAUUAACAAAAUAUGCAGAUACCAAAUUAACAUCGUCAAGGUUCUCAAUAAGUACCAAGUUAGAAAUUAUUAUCAUUAUCAUCAUUAUUAUUAUUAUUAUUAUUAUCAUCAUCAUCAUCAUUAUUUCUUGCUUUGCCACCUAAGCAGUAAAACAAUGAUAUUAGUCCUUUGGAGAACUGAGGAAAUUACUUUAAAUUCCCAAGUUACAGUAAAUUUGCACACAGAUAACAUGCAUGUUAUGUAUCAAGUUUCACAUUAUUUUAAAAUAAGCAGUGCCUUUCAAAACAGAUGCAGACAUAUGUGUUGGUGGUAGUGAGGAGAUUGGUAUUAGCAUCAAAUCUUCAUUGAUGACUAAUGUUUAAUUCCCUUCCUUUUAUCUUUAGGUAUGGCUUUCCCAACGAAAGGCUAAGAAUUCAAGAACGGUCUUAACCGAACCCUCAUCAGAUCUGAAUUUAACAAAUGCUUAGUCUCAGCAGCCUCCGGGAAAAACCUUAGCCUAGCAGUCAGUGACUUACUUGCACUUUUUGCACAUAGAUAUAAAGUAAAAUGAUACUAUUAAUUUGGAUUAGUCUGUAAUACUGCAAAGCAACAGUAAUUUAUAAAGGAGUGUAUAGAAGUAAACUGACUGCUAAGUGUACUGUACUGUUUGCUUUACUAAUCACCUAAUUCAUUGCAGUUCAUACUUAUUGACUCAAAAGUUUAAAUCCACAAUCUGUAGGCUUUAAUUAAGAGUUGCUUUUUAAACCUUUUUUAAGUGAUAAACUCUGAAAGUUAAGGUUAGCAAAAUAAUUGUCAGUAUUAAAUGUGGCAUUAUUUAAGUAGUCCUGCUGCAAGAAAGGCACUUCAGUGAAUAUGUGACUAGUAAAGCUCAGACACGUCUGGUUCUAAUAGAGCUCGUGAGAUACUGUGACUUGGGGACUGUCAAUGAAGAGGUGAAGUAGGUAGAAGGCCAACCUGUUUGAAAUGAAUGCAAUAUUGAUAGAUACAUGACAUACUACAGUUGAUUUUAAAACUACUGUGCCUUAACAUGUUUCUUAAGCUUUUGUAGUAAGUGAACCUUUGAGAUCCAUUUUGAUAAACCUGCUGUCAAUGUUUCCCUUAUGUAUGUUUUCUAACUUUGUCUUGGUAAUUGCAAUUUAACUAGGUGCGGUGGCUACUAAAGUUCGAAGGCACGAUAUGCGUGUCCAUCCUUACCAAAGGAUUGUGACCGCAGACCGAGCCGCCACCGGCAACUAACCUAUGACCUUCUGACCUCUGAACUCUUCACCCAAUGAUGACCUGACCAUGCCUGCCUGCUGAUCAGUUAACUGGUAAUCGCCUUUGCUUGCCUGUCGUCAGUGCAGCGAGCUGAGGCACUUGUCCGUUCGUCUUACCAUCUAACCAAACAAAAGACAAAGAAAUUGUCCUCCAACUCAGCUUUUCCCCCCCUGUUUGGGUGAAAGUGGUUCUAGAACCUGCACUGAAUAGUAGUAAAGCAAUAAGGCCCGAUUCAUCCCACAGCACUGAUCAUCUCUCAAUGCCCCACCCCAAGCGAACGGUAAGAAGGCCUCUCUUAAGAAGGGGAGACAGAUGGCCCUAACUACUCAGUGACAGAGGCAGUUACUGUGAGAGACUUGUAGGAAUUUUUUUCUUCUCCUAGCGAAGUCAAAGCUCUCUCUGAAUGUACUGUGUGACAAUGCAUCAUGCAUGAACCUUCGGUCAGGGAUGUCGUUGGGGAAGUGACUUCAAAAGUAUUCAAAAUUUGACAUGCUGUUUGUUUAGUCACUACAGUGCCCUCAAAGGGCAGACAUUGCAGCCUUUUUAUAUUGCCUGCCAAAAUUUGAAGUAUUAGAACAAAGUGUGCCAUGAGAGAAAAACUUAACAAGGAGUUUUGAAAAGAAAUGCAAAGAACAAAACUACAACACUAUUUUUUAAAAAGUUGAGUAUCUGAGUUAAAAUUUCCAAAUCUUUAUUUUACACCACCUUAAAAAUUAUAUGAGAACAAGGUACAUGCAUUAUGUGUCACAUUACUGGGCAAACUGUUCAAAUAUUUUUUUUAAACCUCCCUGUAUAGAAAAUAUCAUUAAGGAUGUAAAAGCCAUGCUUGCCUAUUUGCUGUAUACAUGUAAUGAAAUUGUAGAUAAAGUGUAGUGCAUUGAAACAAAUGAACAAAAAAGUAGAUACUUUUACUAUACAAGGGUGCUGGUGCAGAAAAAAAUAUAUAUAUUUUUGGAAAUGUAGCAUUUUAUACUUUCAAGUGUUAUAAAAAAAAAGAAAAAGAACAAAGAAACCCUUUAUUUCAUUAAAUGAUUUUUUCUGGUGGUUGUCAAGAAACAAAAGACCAAAAGAGCCUUUUUGUCUUUCUUUUUUAUUUUUUAAGUAUUGGAAUAAGUCUAAUGAAAAAGAAAGUGCCUUAUUUUUCUUCAUGGUCAUUUAGUCAAGUGUCCUGUAAGAUCAGCUCCUCCCUCAGAAUAAAGUUACUGCAUGUUCCUCAGUCGCCCAGUAUGUGAAAGGAGAUAUGAGAGGAGACAAAUGAGUUGAUGGUCUAAAUUAUAAGAUUUGUGUCACAUUAUCUUGAUGCCAGUUUGCCAAAUCUGAUACUGUGAAAAAAUUUGAUAGCUUUUCUAAUGUCUGACUAGUAAAUUUUAAAAUGUCAUUCUUUUACAAAUCAUAAUUAGUACUUUUGGUUAUUACCGUCUUCAGUGUUAGCCCAAAGAUUCUGAGGUUUAGAAAAAAAUUAUGUAAGAUCUGAACAUCAGUUUGCAGACAAAAUUAAAUUAGAGCUUUAUUUUAUUUGGAGAAGAGGGAUACAAUGGAAUUUUUCCUUACCAAUUAGAAAUAAUUGUAAUGCCUAAAAAACUUUUUCACAAAAAUGAAUCUUUGAAAUUUUUUAUUGUUGAAAAAGUGUUAAGUAACAUAAAUCUAAUCAGAUAUCUUAUGUAGUCCAUCUCUGCUGGCUUUAGUAACUGCUCCUAAACUUUUUAACUCUAAAGGAGCGUGGAAAGCCCGCAUCACAGUGUUCAGUGACUGCUCUGCUCCAUUCUUUCUCCUCUCCAGUUUCUCUCUUGAAAGUCAAACAGUUUUGUAGUUGAAGCAGUCCGUGUGCAAAGCCUGCAUCUAAACACUUGCGUUAAUAAGUCAUUAACCGCUCAGUACCAGAUGUGGCAAAUCUCAAGUGAUUGUGGACUCCUGGCUCAUCAACUCAUGCCCUCUUCCAUACCCUCAUGGCUUCACAGUCAAGGUCAGCAGGAAGCUCAUUGGUCACCUUCAUGGUGACCUCUCCAUUAUUCUGUCUCACUUGGAACCAUUUUCAGUUUAUUUACUAUGCAAUAGACAGUCCUUGUUUUGUACUCAGCUAGCUUUGAUUUAAUGUACCACUGCUUUGUCUUUCUGUUACACAUAUGGUUUUGAUUUAUUUACAAUAUAUGCUGUGCCAUUUUGAUUUUUAUUUUGGUUGGUUGGUUGAAUAAAUAUGCGACACUCAGAACACUUGAGGUGAUAGUUUUAAAAAAAACAAACAAACAGUACCAGUAUUUGAUCCAGUCUCAUCUCAGCUGUGUUAUACCUGGACAAUUUAGAUGUUUAUCAAAGGUCUUUUAUGGGGAAGAAAGCAAAUGUGUAAAACAGUAGACGUGUGACGUUUAUGAGUAAUGCUGGCUCUGAACAAACUUUUGAAAACUUAGUUGACAGUGUUUUGAGUCAACUGAAAAAAAGCAUGACUUUUGGAAUCUCUGAAUGCCUUGGUUCUCAGUAUUAUCACUCUAUUGAAUUUUUUUUUCUUAUUAAAGUAUGUAGUUUAAAAGUAAGACUUUUUUCCUGACAGUAUUAUGUAAUUUUUAGCGUGGGUAGAUGGGAGUGUCGCUUGUAUGUUACCAUACAGCUGACAUGUAUUUUUUGUCUAUUCUUUAUUAUCUUAGUAGUUUCAUGCUGUGUAUGUACCAUAACCAACCUAUUGCCUAUGAGAAACAUGUAAGAUAAUGUAUUUACAGCCAUUGUUACAAGUUUAUAAUGUAUUUUUCUAUCUUGUUUUAUAUGUAUGUUAUAUAACAUUCAAAAGAAUUUUUUUCUUGAUUGAGAAAAGGAUACAAAAUGCAAAAUCCACAAUUUUGAUAACUGAAAAUUGCCAAUUGUUUUGCAGUACUUUAUUAUAUUGGGUGUCUUGUCUUUCUUGGGCUUUUAGUUAGCUGAUGAAUGAAUACAUUAGACACUUCUGGGUUUUAGUUGGGAUUUUACAUAGCUUGCAUUUUAGUUCUUUGGUUCUUUGCUGUUUCUAUUAACCCAUAGCAUUAUUUUAAUAAAUGUUAUAAUACCAACCUAC